GGUUGUCCCGGUUUAAGCGUGUAGGUGUGUGUUCCAGGUAAAUCCGGUUCACUUUAACACUGAGGCGUGAUGACGAGGCACUACGGUGCUGAAGCAACAAAUGCCCUGCUUCCAGGAAAAGCCUCUAAGCAUCAGGUAACAUCAAAUCGUACCCCAAACCGACACAGGUGGUCAGGUAGAGAAUACCAAGGCGCUUGAGAGAACUCGGGUGAAGGAACUAGGCAAAAUGGUGCCGUAACUUCGGGAGAAGGCACGCUGACACGUAGGUGAAGUGAUUUACUCAUGGAGCUGAAGUCAGUCGAAGAUACCAGCUGGCUGCAACUGUUUAUUAAAAACACAGCACUGUGCAAACACGAAAGUGGACGUAUACGGUGUGACGCCUGCCCGGUGCCGGAAGGUUAAUUGAUGGGGUCAGCGCAAGCGAAGCUCCUGAUCGAAGCCCCGGUAAACGGCGGCCGUAACUAUAACGGUCCUAAGGUAGCGAAAUUCCUUGUCGGGUAAGUUCCGACCUGCACGAAUGGCGUAAUGAUGGCCAGGCUGUCUCCACCCGAGACUCAGUGAAAUUGAACUCGCUGUGAAGAUGCAGUGUACCCGCGGCAAGACGGAAAGACCCCGUGAACCUUUACUAUAGCUUGACACUGAACAUUGAGCCUUGAUGUGUAGGAUAGGUGGGAGGCUUUGAAGUGUGGACGCCAGUCUGCAUGGAGCCGGCCUUGAAAUACCACCCUUUAAUGUUUGAUGUUCUAACGUGGACCCGUGAUCCGGGUUGCGGACAGUGUCUGGUGGGUAGUUUGACUGGGGCGGUCUCCUCCUAAAGAGUAACGGAGGAGCACGAAGGUUGGCUAAUCCUGGUCGGACAUCAGGAGGUUAGUGCAAUGGCAUAAGCCAGCUUGACUGCGAGCGUGACGGCGCGAGCAGGUGCGAAAGCAGGUCAUAGUGAUCCGGUGGUUCUGAAUGGAAGGGCCAUCGCUCAACGGAUAAAAGGUACUCCGGGGAUAACAGGCUGAUACCGCCCAAGAGUUCAUAUCGACGGCGGUGUUUGGCACCUCGAUGUCGGCUCAUCACAUCCUGGGGCUGAAGUAGGUCCCAAGGGUAUGGCUGUUCGCCAUUUAAAGUGGUACGCGAGCUGGGUUUAGAACGUCGUGAGACAGUUCGGUCCCUAUCUGCCGUGGGCGCUGGAGAACUGAGGGGGGCUGCUCCUAGUACGAGAGGACCGGAGUGGACGCAUCACUGGUGUUCGGGUUGUCAUGCCAAUGGCACUGCCCGGUAGCUAAAUGCGGAAGAGAUAAGUGCUGAAAGCAUCUAAGCACGAAACUUGCCCCGAGAUGAGUUCUCCCUGAGACUUUAGGUCUCCUGAAGGAACGUUGAAGACGACGACGUUGAUAGGCCGGGUGUGUAAGCGCAGCGAUGCGUUGAGCUAACCGGUA
rnacentral:rRNA from 1 species